ACGAACGCUGGCGGCGUGCCUAAUCCAUGCAAGUAGCACGCUGAAGCUUGGUGCUUGCACCGAGCGGAUGAGUUGCGAACGGGUGAGUAACGCGUAGGUAACCUGCCUGGUAGCGGGGGAUAACUAUUGGAAACGAUAGCUAAUACCGCAUAAGAGUAGAUGUUGCAUGACAUUUGCUUAAAAGGUGCAAUUGCAUCACUACCAGAUGGACCUGCGUUGUAUUAGCUAGUUGGUGAGGUAACGGCUCACCAAGGCAACGAUACAUAGCCGACCUGAGAGGGUGAUCGGCCACACUGGGACUGAGACACGGCCCAGACUCCUACGGGAGGCAGCAGUAGGGAAUCUUCGGCAAUGGACGGAAGUCUGACCGAGCAACGCCGCGUGAGUGAAGAAGGUUUUCGGAUCGUAAAGCUCUGUUGUAAGAGAAGAACGAGUGUGAGAGUGGAAAGUUCACACUGUGACGAUAUCUUACCAGAAAGGGACGGCUAACUACGUG
rnacentral:rRNA from 1 species